GAUGAAGAACGUAGCGAAAUGCGAUAAGUAAUGUGAAUUGCAGAAUUCAGUGAAUCAUCGAAUCUUUGAACGCACAUUGCGCCCGCUAGUAUUCUGGCGGGCAUGCCUGUUCGAGCGUCAUUUGUACCUUCAAGCUUUGCUUGGUGUUGGGUGUUUGUCUCGCCUUUGCGUGUAGACUCGCCUUAAAAUAAUUGGCAGCCGGCGUAUUGAUUUCGGAGCGCAGUACAUCUCGCGCUUUGCACUCAUAACGACAGCGUCCAAAAGUACAUUUUACACUCUUGACCUCGGAUCAGGUAGGGAUACCCGCUGAACUUAAGCAUAUCAAUAAGCGGAGGA
rnacentral:misc_RNA from 1 species